AGUGAACGCUGGCGGUAGGCCUAACACAUGCAAGUCGAACGGCAGCACAGGAGAGCUUGCUCUCUGGGUGGCGAGUGGGGGACGGGUGAGAAAUACAUCGGAAUCUACCUUUUCGUGGGGGAUAACGUAGGGAAACUUACGCUAAUACCGCAUACGACCUACGGGUGAAAGUGGGGGACCGCAAGGCCUCACGCGAUUAGAUGAGCCGAUGUCCGAUUAGCUAGUUGGCGGGGUAAUGGCCCACCAAGGCGACGAUCGGUAGCUGGUCUGAGAGGAUGAUCAGCCACACUGGGACUGAGACACGGUCCAGACUCCUACGGGAGGCAGCAGUGGGGAAUAUUGGGAAAUGGGCGCAAGCCUGAUCCAGCCAUACCGCGUGGGUGAAGAAGGCCUUCGGGUUGUAAAGCCCUUUUGUUGGGAAAGAAAUCCUGUCGAUUAAUACUCGGUGGGGAUGACGGUACCCAAAGAAUAAGCACCGGCUAACUUCGUGCCAGCCGCCGCGGUAAUAC
rnacentral:rRNA from 1 species